rnacentral:misc_RNA from 1 species
GAUGAAGAACGCAGCGAAAUGCGAUACUUGGUGUGAAUUGCAGAAUCCCGUGAACCAUCGAGUCUUUGAACGCAAGUUGCGCCCGAAGCCAUUAGGCCGAGGGCACGCCUGCCUGGGUGUCACACACCGUUACCCUCGCGCCAACGUCCAUCGUUGGCCGCGGCGCGGGGCGUGCGCUGACCUCCCGCGAGCGGGGUCUCGUGGUUGGUUGAAAAUCGAGUUCGCGGUCGAGGGUGCCGUGAUGAAAUGGUGGAUGGGCGACGCCCGAGGCCAAUCACGCGCGACUCUGUCCGGCUCGGACGCCUGGACCCCUUCGGCGUCUCCGGACGCUCUUUGGCGAGACCUCAGGUCAGGCGGGGCUACCCGCUGAGUUUAAGCAUAUCAAUAAGCGGAGGA